rnacentral:rRNA from 1 species
GAUGAACGCUGGCGGCGUGCCUAAUACAUGCAAGUCGAACGAACAGACGAGGAUCUUGCUCCUCGGACGUGAGCGGCGGGCGGGUGAGUAACGCGUGGAUAACCUACCUGUAAGUCUGGGAUAACUUCGAGAAAGCGGAGCUAAUACCGGAGAAUAUAUUGAACCGUAUGGUUCAAUAGUGAAAGACGGCUUUGCUGUCACUUCUAGAUGGAUCCGCGCCGCAUUAGCUAGUUGGUAAGGUAACGGGUUACCAAGGCGACUAUGCGUAGCCGACCUCACAGGGUGAUCGCCCACCCGAGAACAGAGCCUGGGCCGCGACUCCUGCGGGAGGCAGCAGCCGGGAAUCUUACGCAAUGGAGGAGAGCCUGACGGAGCAACACGGCGUGAGUGAUGACGGUGCUCCGAUCGGAAAGCGCUGUUAUUAGGGAAGAACAAAUGUGUAAUUAGCUGUGCACGUAUUGACGGUACCUGAUCAAGAAGCCCCGGCUAACUACGUG